GCUCAUUAAAUCAGUUAUAGUUUAUUUGAUGAUGUUUUUUAAUUGGAUAUCUGUUCUAAUUGAAGAGCUAAUACAUGCAAAAAGGAAUGUAGCUUGCCUACAUUCUGUAUUUAUUAGAUACAAACAACCAUUUCAUGGUGAUUCAUAAUAACUUUAGAGAUCGCAGUGCCCUUGAGGCGGCGACAGAUCAUUCAAAUUUCUGCCCUAUCAACUUUAGAUGGUAGUGUAGUGGACUACCAUGGUAUUAACGGGUAACGGAGAAUUAGGGUUCGAUUUCGGAGAGGGAGCCUGAGAAAUGGCUACCACUUCCAAGGAAGGCAGCAGGCGCGAAAAUUACCCAAAUAGGAACUUCUUGAGGUAGUGACAAGAAAUAACAAUGCGGGUUGUUAUACAAUUCGUAAUUGGAAUGAGAUUAAGUUAAAACUCUUUUUGAGGAUCAAUUGGAGAGCAAGUCUGGUGCCAGCAGCCGCGGUAAUUCCAGCUCCAAUAGCGUAUAUUUAAGUUGUUGCAGUUAAAAAGCUCGUAGUUGGAUUUCGGGCCGGCGCCACCGGUCUCCCUUUGGGCAGUACUGGUGUGCCCGACCUUGCAGCCGUGCCCGGGCGCUUGGGCUUAACGGCUCGAGCCCCGGUGCCGGCGAUGUUACUUUGAGUAAAUUAGAGUGUUCAAAGCAAGCCAACGCUCGCAUAUGAUAGCAUGGGAUAACACGACAGGACUCUGGCCUAUCGUGUUGGUCUGUAGGACCAGAGUAAUGAUUAAGAGGGACAGUCGGGGGCAUUCGUAUUCCAUUGUCAGAGGUGAAAUUCUUGGAUUUAUGGAAGACGAACAUCUGCGAAAGCAUUUGCCAAGGAUGUUUUCAUUGAUCAAGAACGAAAGUUGGGGGCUCGAAGACGAUUAGAUACCGUCGUAGUCUCAACCAUAAACGAUGCCGACUAGGGAUUGGCGGGCGUUCUUUUGAUGACCCCGCCAGCACCUCAUGAGAAAUCAAAGUUUUUGGGUUCCGGGGGGAGUAUGGUCGCAAGGCUGAAACUUAAA
rnacentral:rRNA from 1 species